GCCUGGAUGGCUCAGUGGUUGAGCGUCUGCCUUUGGCGUAGGUCCUGAUCCUGGGGUCUGGGGUUUGAGUCCCGCUUUGGGCU
rnacentral:tRNA from 1 species